rnacentral:tRNA from 1 species
GAGUGUAUAGCUCAGUGGUAGAGUAUGUGCUUAGCAUGCACGAAUUCCUGGGUUCAAUCCCCAGUACCACCA